GUUAUAGCUGUUAACCUUUUACACGUUUUGCUUCUAUUGUUUAGGACCUUUUGUAAGUGCUCUAGUUGGACUUAACUGGACUCAUUUUACAAUUUAAUCAUUGUAUUUUGGAUUUAUGUUGUUAAUGUUGAUCCUAUCAAUUUACUGGUUUGGUUGAUGCUGUUGAAAAAGAGGCGAUUCAAUCAAUAGCUGUGAUUAACUGGAAAGUCUGUGCUUCAGUCGUAUCUCUCUGUGGUGAUCCUUUAAGCUUUACAAUAAGUUUUCAGUUUUGUCUUUUGUUUGGUGGACCAAUUGCAAGGGUAAACAUGGAUUUCCCAGUUUAAUUGGCUUCAAUAUCAUCUAAUAUCAUGUGUUAGAUACAGUUUACUGUAAUUUAACCUCAUUUUGUUUAAUGGUAAAUCACAAGUCUAAUUGGUUGGAUGGGAAAUAUCAAAAUCAACUUGAACGGCAACAUCAGUAGGAACAACAUCAAACAAGCUCAUCUUUCUUGCUUCCAUUCAUUCACCUAUUCAUCUUAUUAUUUAACCAAAUCAAGAUGAGAUUAUGAAGGCUUCCAACUGUGAGAUUGCAUUAAAGGUGAAUAACAAGAUGAAUUAAAUGAUGAAAUGGAAGAAAGAUUGACUCAAUUAAUUGACCCAUUAUUGCCUAAACAAAUACACGUAAAUGAUUAAUAAUUCAAUUUUUCCUCUACUGUGCCAUCACUAUUUCAUUAAAUUAACAGCCUAUCAGUAUUUAAAGGUUACACUGGAAAAGAUGUAUGAAAAACAUGGAACAACAAGUUAACAAGGGAUUGAAGAUGAACUCAAGAAUAGGAAUCGUUUCUCGGUGAGAGUUUGGAUGUUAUAUUGUUAACUGUUUCUGGUUGAAUGGAAGUGCCAAUUAUCUAACCUGGCAAUUAAAUUAAAUGCGUUCCCAGUGAUCAAAUUGAAUAUCUUUUGGGUUUUCAAUUGAAAGUUGUGAAACCAUGAAACUAAGAUGACAGGGAGAAAAAUGGAAACUCCAAUUAAAUAGAUGUAUUUAAGUUGAUAAUGCAGAAUCCAAUACGGCUAAUAAUAAGCUCAAUUGUGAACAUAAUUAUCUGAUUGAACCUGUGGGAAUCUACGGACAUGAAAUUUAACCUUUUUUGUCAGACUGAAUUUAACGAGAUCUUUUCAUGAUGAUGAUUAUAAUGAUCAUCGGUUUUUUUUUCAUCUUUUUUUUCAACCUGAUAAAGUGUCUUGACAUUUAUAAUAAUAAUUGUAUUUUUACUCUGAACAAAUGUUGAAAUUGUUAACAAGAUAAAGAUUAAUUCUGUUGGUUUCUCCUUUUUUGUUCAUUGUAUUAAUAACCCAAGUGAAUGAACACAAAAGUGUAACUCUUCUCACAAUUUUGUUUCCAAUUAACCAUCUAAUUGUUGUUGAUGUUACCCACUGUUAUUAUCAGCGGAUUAAUUGCAUUAUUUUGCUGGUUAACUCAAUGAUUCUGAUUAAUUCAAAAUGCUUUUCAAAAGGUUACAUUUUUCAUUUUGUCAACCUGUUUGUCUUUCUGUUUAUCAAUCAGAUUAAAUUAACUGUCUUUCAUUGUUAAA